rnacentral:rRNA from 1 species
AAAAAAAAGAGCAUUUAACGGAUGCCUUGGCAUUAAGUGAAAAAGGACGGAAAAUUUUUCGAAAACCAUGUUUAGUUGUAACGUAAAAACAUGGGUAUCCUAUGGGAAAACCUACCAAAAAUUGGAAUUUUUAACCUAGUGAACUGAAACAUCUAAGUAACUAGAGGAAAGGAAAUCAACCGAGACUCCGUAAGUAGUGGCGAGCGAACGCGGACAAGGCCUAUUUAAAUAAUGUUUAAAUAAUAAAAAAAAACGAUCUGAAAUGUUGUGCCAUAGAAGGUAAAGAAGCCCUGUAUUUUUAUUAUCUUUGAAAAUAUCAUUAUUUAAAAUUGAGUAAAACGGGACACGUGAAAUCUUGUUUGAAAAUAGGGGGACCACCCUCUAAGCCUAAGUACACCUUAAUGACCGAUAGUGUAAAGUACCGUGAGGGAAAUUUGGGCAGUAUUUCCUUGAAAAAGGAACUGGAAAUUUGAAAUUGAAUGCUUACAAGCAGUUGGAGUUUUUAUAAUUUUUAUAAAAAAUGACAGCGUACCUUUUGCAUAAUGGGUCAGCGAGUGAAUUAAUAAAGCAAGCCGAAAUUAAAAAAUUGAGGCGUAGCGAAAGCGAGUUUGAAUAGAGCGUUUAUAUAGUUAUAUUAAUUCUACCCGAAACCAAGUGAUCUAACCAUGAGCAGGUUAAAGAUAUGAUAAAACAUAUUGGAGGACCGAACCCACGUAUGUGGCAAAAUACGGGGAUGACUUGUGGUUAGGGGUGAAAGGCCAAUCAAACUUGGAAAUAGCUGGUUUUCUGCGAAAUCUAUUGAAGUAGAGUACUAUAAAAUAAUUAUAAGGGGUAGAGCACUCUAUGGAAAAUUGCUUGCAUUUUGUGGGUAAUGACCAAAGAAACUCCGAAUACUUAUAAAAAAUAUUAUAGCAAACAGACUUUGGGUGCUAAGAUCCAAAGUCAAGAGGGAAACAGCCCAGACCAUCAGUUAAGGUCCCUAAGUAAUAACUAAGUGGGAAAGGAAGUAAUAAAGUGAAAACAGCUAGCAGGUAGGCUUGGAAGCAGCCAUCCUUUAAAGAAAGCGUAAUAGCUCACUGGUCGAUAUGCUUUAUUGCGCCGAAAAUGUAACGGGGCUCAAAGUUUUAUAAGAAUUCAAAAAAAUUUGAAUUCUUAUAAAAUCAAGUUAUUCACCGAAACUAUGGGAUACUUUAUACAAAGUAUCGGUAGCAGAACGUUUUGUAAAUCAAUGAAGUAUUUUUGUGAAAAAAUAUGGAGAUAUCAAAAAUGAGAAUGCUGACAUGAGUAAUAUAAUGUGGUGUGAAAAAAAACCACACGCCGAAAGCCGAAGGUAAACUGAAAAGUCGGCCCCUAAAUAAUAAGCGAAAGCUGCAUAUGAUGGGAAUCAGUUAAAUACUGAACUAGUUAUAAGUGACAAAGGGUUUUGUGUAAUACACAAACAAAAAAAGGCCUCUAAAACAAUUGGAUGUUUUAACUAUUUUGCCCUUUCAGGAAAAAACUUUAACAAAAAACCGUACCAAUACCGACACAGGCAGGCUAGUAGAGAAUACUAAGGCGGUUGAGAGAACUAUAUUGAAGGAACUCGGCAAAUUAACCUUGUAACUUCGGGAUAAAAGGUGCCAGCUUAUAGGUAAAGUUGGCGGCACGAAUAGGGGGUAACGACUGUUUACUAAAAACACAGGACUCUGCUAAAUCGUAAGAUGAUGUAUAGGGUCUGACACCUGCCCGGUGCUGGUAAGUGAAUAGGAGGAGUUAAUAGCUCUGAAUUUAAGCUCCAGUAAACGGCGGCCGUAACUCUAACGGUCCAAAGGUAGCGAAAUUCCUUGUCGGGUAAUUUCCGACCCGCAUGAAUGGUGUAACGAUUUCCCCACUGUCUCCAGUAUAGACUCAAUGAAAUUGAAUUGUCCGUGAAGAUGCGGACUACCAGCAGCUAGACGGAAAGACCCCGUGCACCUUUACUACAUCUUUACAUUGUCUAACGGAUUUUCAUGUAUAGAAUAGGUGGGAGCUUAUGAUGCCUUAGCGCAAGCUAACUGCGGAGGCUUCCUUGAAAUACCACCCUUGAAAUCUUUUCGGACUAAGUUUAUGUAUAAAAUAUAAACAACAGUGUAUGGUUGGUAGUUUGACUGGGGCGGUCGCCUCCCAAAUAGUAACGGAGGCGUACGAAGGUAGGCUCAAGUUUGAUGGAAAUAAACUUUAGAGUGCAAUGGCAUAAGCCUGCUUAACUGUAAGACAAACAAGUCGAACAGAAACGAAAGUUGGUCAUAGUGAUCCGGUGGUCCCUGUGUGGAAAGGCCAUCGCUCAACGGAUAAAAGGUACGCCGGGGAUAACAGGCUAAUGACUCCCAAGAG